rnacentral:rRNA from 1 species
GAUGAACGCUGGCGGCGUGCCUAAUACAUGCAAGUCGAGCGAACGGACGAGAAGCUUGCUUCUCUGAUGUUAGCGGCGGACGGGUGAGUAACACGUGGAUAACCUACCUAUAAGACUGGGAUAACUUCGGGAAACCGUAGCUAAUACCGGAUAAUAUUUUGAACCGCAUGGUUCAAAAGUGAAAGACGGUCUUGCUGUCACUUAUAGAUGGAUCCGCGCUGCAUUAGCUAGUUGGUAAGGUAACGGCUUACCAAGGCAACGAUGCAUAGCCGACCUGAGAGGGUGAUCGGCAAACCUGGAACUGAGACACGGUCCAGACUCCUACGGGAGGCAGCAGUAGGGAAUCUUCGGCAAUGGGCGAAAGCCUGACGGAGCAACGCCGCGUGAGUGAUGAAGGUCUUCGGAUCGUAAAACUCUGUUAUUAGGGAAGAACAUAUGUGUAAGUAACUGUGCACAUCUUGACGGUACCUAAUCAGAAAGCCACGGCUAACUACGUG